GACGAACGCUGGCGGCGUGCUUAACACAUGCAAGUCGAACGGAAAGGCCCUGCUUUUGUGGGGUGCUCGAGUGGCGAACGGGUGAGUAACACGUGAGUAACCUGCCCUUGACUUUGGGAUAACUUCAGGAAACUGGGGCUAAUACCGGAUAGGAGCUCCUGCUGCAUGGGGGGGGUUGGAAAGUUUCGGCGGUUGGGGUUGGACUCGAGGCUUAUCAGCUUGUUGGUGGGGUAGUGGCUUACAAAGGCUUUGACGGGUAGCCGGCCUGGGAGGGUGACCGGCCACAUUGGGACUGGGGUGCGGCCCAGAGUCCAACGGGAGGCAGCGGUGGGGAAUAUUGCACAAUGGGCGGAAGCCUGAUGCAGCAACGCCGGGUGCGGGAUGACGGCCUUCGGGUUGUAAACCGCUUUCGCCUGUGACGAAGCGUGAGUGACGGUAAUGGGUAAAGAAGCACCGGCUAACUACGU
rnacentral:rRNA from 1 species